UGCACUCAGAGGGCCCUUGGCUGAUGUCCCAUUGGACCAUCAAGAGGGGGCAGAGCAAAAGCAUCACUUUGGGGUGAAGUGGCAGCCUGUGUGUUGUUUCGCUUCAGUCGGUGCUGUGACAAGA
ensembl:snoRNA